rnacentral:misc_RNA from 1 species
GUGAAUCAUCGAAUUUUUGAACGCAAAUUGCACUCUCUGGUAUUCCGGAGAGUAUGCCUGUUUGAGGGUCAGUUUAAAUAAAAAUCGGUGUGGUUGCUGCCUUUCGAGGUGACGCACCGUAUUUGGGUCUUCUUUCCUUCGGUUAAGUGACCUAAAAUUGUGCUUGUUUUGUUUCGAUCGUAUUUAAAUGAAUUUUCGUUUGUUUGCGAUAUCCAAUAUUAGGUGU